AUUGAACGCUGGCGGCAGGCCUAACACAUGCAAGUCGAGCGGAUGAAGGGAGCUUGCUCCUGGAUUCAGCGGCGGACGGGUGAGUAAUGCCUAGGAAUCUGCCUGGUAGUGGGGGAUAACGUCCGGAAACGGGCGCUAAUACCGCAUACGUCCUGAGGGAGAAAGUGGGGGAUCUUCGGACCUCACGCUAUCAUAUGAGCCUACGUCGGAUUAGCUAGUUGGUGGGGUAAAGGCCUACCAAGGCGACGAUCCGUAACUGGUCUGAGAGGAUGAUCAGUCACACUGGAACUGAGACACGGUCCAGACUCCUACGGGAGGCAGCAGUGGGGAAUAUUGGACAAUGGGCGAAAGCCUGAUCCAGCCAUGCCGCGUGUGUGAAGAAGGUCUUCGGAUUGUAAAGCACUUUAAGUUGGGAGGAAGGGCAGUAAGUUAAUACCUUGCUGUUUUGACGUUACCAACAGAAUAAGCACCGGCUAACUUCGUG
rnacentral:rRNA from 1 species